GCUUAGCCCCGAUUGUAGUGGCAUCCUUUUUAUUUUUUUACCUAAAAAUAAAAAGAUACAACGAAAAGCGGGAACAUAA
rnacentral:sRNA from 1 species